GGCCAGGUGGCGGAGUGGUUAACGCGGUAGACUCGAAACUUCCUGUCAACUUGACAGGAAUUCGUGCCAUCUACUUCCUUCGGGAGCGUCUGUUCGAAUCAGGCCCUGGUCG